rnacentral:rRNA from 1 species
UGGGGAAUAUUGCACAAUGGGCGAAAGCCUGAUGCAGCGACGCCGCGUGAGUGAAGAAGUAUUUCGGUAUGUAAAGCUCUAUCAGCAGGGAAGAAAAUGACGGUACCUGACUAAGAAGCCCCGGCUAACUACGUGCCAGCAGCCGCGGUAAUACGUAGGGGGCAAGCGUUAUCCGGAUUUACUGGGUGUAAAGGGAGCGUAGACGGCGAAGCAAGUCUGAAGUGAAAACCCAGGGCUCAACCCUGGGACUGCUUUGGAAACUGUUUUGCUAGAGUGUCGGAAAGGUAAGUGGAAUUCCUAGUGUAGCGGUGAAAUGCGUAGAUAUUAGGAGGAACACCAGUGGCGAAGGCGGCUUACUGGACGAUAACUGACGUUGAGGCUCGAAAGCGUGGGGAGCAAACAGG